rnacentral:rRNA from 1 species
AACGAACGCUGGCGGCAUGCCUAACACAUGCAAGUCGAACGAGACCUUCGGGUCUAGUGGCGCACGGGUGCGUAACGCGUGGGAACCUGCCCUUAGGUUCGGAAUAACUCCCCGAAAGGGGUGCUAAUACCGGAUAAUGUCUUCGGACCAAAGAUUUAUCGCCUUUGGAUGGGCCCGCGUUGGAUUAGCUAGUUGGUAGGGUAAAAGCCUACCAAGGCGACGAUCCAUAGCUGGUCUGAGAGGAUGAUCAGCCACACUGGGACUGAGACACGGCCCAGACCACGCGGGGGAUAAGAGGGGGGGACUAUGGUCGUGGGCGCACACGACUAAUGCAGCCGUGCUGGGUGAGUAGUAAAGGCCUUAUUGUUGUAACCCUCUUUUACGUGAAAUAAUAAUGAACGUCCAGGGAAAAUCAGCCCCGGAUAACCCCAUCGCCGCAGCGGUGUCAAGAAUAGACAGACCCACCAUCUGACC